rnacentral:tRNA from 1 species
AAGGGAGACCUAAUUCGGGUAUAAGACGAAAAAAGAGUAGUCGAAACCAAGAAUCAAUCCCAAAAGGUCGGAACGAGGUAUGUGGCUUUCAAACUAGGUUCUGGGUUCACACAAGACCUGAAUCAGGAACAAGGGCUAUUAGCUCAGGUGGUUAGAGCGCACCCCUGAUAAGGGUGAGGUCCCUGGUUCGAGUCCAGGAUGGCCCACCUGCACAGGUGGCAAAAACAAAGAAGCGAGGAAUCAGCACCUUAUCUUAUCUAUAUAUAAGAGAGAAUGCUGGCUCUGAGUAAAGAGUCCAGGGGAACCUUGGAAACUGCAUAGAGCUAGGUGAAAAAGCCAAAAAAGAAGACCGCAA